CCUACGGUGGGCAGCAGUAGGGAAUAUUGCUCAAUGGGGGAAACCCUGAAGCAGCAACGCCGCGUGGAGGAUGAAGGUUUUCGGAUUGUAAACUCCUUUUGUUAGAGAAGAUAAUGACGGUAUCUAACGAAUAAGCACCGGCUAACUCCGUGCCAGCAGCCGCGGUAAUACGGAGGGUGCAAGCGUUACUCGGAAUCACUGGGCGUAAAGAGCGCGUAGGCGGGAUAGCAAGUCAGAUGUGAAAUCCUAUGGCUUAACCAUAGAACUGCAUUUGAAACUAUGAGUCUAGAGUGUGGGAGAGGUAGGUGGAAUUCUUGGUGUAGGGGUAAAAUCCGUAGAUAUCAAGAGGAAUACUCAUUGCGAAGGCGACCUACUGGAACAUUACUGACGCUCAUGCACGAAAGCGUGGGGAGCAAACAGGAUUAGAUACCCCUGUAGUC
rnacentral:rRNA from 1 species